GACGAGUGGCGGACGGGUGAGUAAUGCUUGGGAACUUGCCUUUGCGAGGGGGAUAACAGUUGGAAACGACUGCUAAUACCGCAUAAUGUCUUCGGACCAAACGGGGCUUCGGCUCCGGCGCAAAGAGAGGCCCAAGUGAGAUUAGCUAGUUGGUAAGGUAACGGCUUACCAAGGCGACGAUCUCUAGCUGUUCUGAGAGGAAGAUCAGCCACACUGGGACUGAGACACGGCCCAGACUCCUACGGGAGGCAGCAGUGGGGAAUAUUGCACAAUGGGGGAAACCCUGAUGCAGCCAUGCCGCGUGUGUGAAGAAGGCCUUCGGGUUGUAAAGCACUUUCAGUUGUGAGGAAAAGUUAGUAGUUAAUACCUGCUAGCCGUGACGUUAACAACAGAAGAAGCACCGGCUAACUCCGUGCCAGCAGCCGCGGUAAUACGGAGGGUGCGAGCGUUAAUCGGAAUUACUGGGCGUAAAGCGCACGCAGGCGGUUUGUUAAGCUAGAUGUGAAAGCCCCGGGCUCAACCUGGGAUGGUCAUUUAGAACUGGCAGACUAGAGUCUUGGAGAGGGGAGUGGAAUUCCAGGUGUAGCGGUGAAAUGCGUAGAUAUCUGGAGGAACAUCAGUGGCGAAGGCGACUCNNUGGCCAAAGACUGACGCUCAUGUGCGAAAGUGUGGGUAGCGAACAGGAUUAGAUACCCUGGUAGUCCACACCGUAAACGCUGUCUACUAGCUGUGUGUGUCUUUAAGGCGUGCGUAGCGAAGCUAACGCGCUAAGUAGACCGCCUGGGGGAGUACGGCCGCAAGGUUAAAACUCAAAUGAAUUGACGGGGG
rnacentral:rRNA from 1 species